UACGUAGGGUGCGAGCGUUAAUCGGAAUUACUGGGCGUAAAGCGUGCGCAGGCGGUUCGGUAAGUUCGGUGUGAAAGCCCCGGGCUCAACCUGGGAACUGCAAUGGAAACUGGCGGGCUUGAGUGUGGCAGAGGGGGGUGGAAUUCCGCGUGUAGCAGUGAAAUGCGUAGAGAUGCGGAGGAACACCGAUGGCGAAGGCAGCCCCCUGGGCCAACACUGACGCUCAGGCACGAAAGCGUGGGGAGCAAACAGG
rnacentral:rRNA from 1 species